rnacentral:rRNA from 1 species
ACUCCUACGGGAGGCAGCAGUGGGGAAUAUUGCGCAAUGGGGGCAGCCCUGACGCAGCCAUGCCGCGUGAAUGAAGAAGGCCUUCGGGUUGUAAAGUUCUUUCGGUAGCGAGGAAGGCAUUUAGUUUAAUAGACUAGGUGAUUGACGUUAACUACAGAAGAAGCACCGGCUAACUCCGUGCCAGCAGCCGCGGUAAUAC